UGUUCUUUAUGAGAACCAGCUAGUAGUCCAAGCAUGGAGAGUAAGGAAAAAUCAUAAAUAAUUUCUCUGUUAGGAUUACAAUUGGUUUUAUUUUGGAAACACAUCUCUCAUAAUUCUAAUCCUAGUUAGAUUAGUUUUCUUAGGUUUAGAUUAGUUUUCUUUUCGUAGUUAGUCCUCCUUCAGUUUUUUGGGAGAAACUCGGUGAAGUAGGGCUAUAAGUUGCUACAAAUCGUUUACAAUUUCUUAUCAAAAAGAAAAAGGUAAGCUAAGUGGUUAACAACACUGACAUAACAUUUGCAUUAGGUUCUUGAAAGUAUUGGAUAGAUGAAGGUAAAGAGAAAUAUCAUUUAACCGAAGUUGGAUUAAAGGGGUUUUGCCAUAGCCUGAAUAUUCCAACUAAAAGAACAAGAUUUUGACUAGGAAAAGAUAACAUACCUGUUUCUUUUGCAUUUCUUGGUUCACGACAACCUCUAUCGGCCCUCGGCUAGUGCCCAGGGACCACUAUAUGGCCUCUUAUCUGCUUCAGAUUGAGGCUUCUAUGUCAUUUCGUUGCAACAAUUAGGCUUGAAUGUUUCUUGAUCAUUGCAAAGCCUUUGGUGGCCUCCAGAGGUUUCCGCAAGUCAUUUAUUGCCUUUACCAACUGGCUAGGAAUAGCGAGAAUUUUAAAGAAACAAAAUUUAAGAAGAAUAAGUGGGUGUUGGUAGAGAAGAAAGGAAAAAUUGAAAGAAGAGAGGAGAUUUCGUGUGUUUUUAUGAUUUUGGUAUGAGUGGGGAAAAGAGAAUCGACUAAAGGAAGAGAGGAGAUCAGAGGAGAAAGCGCGUUGGUCGGGCAGAGAGAUGCAAUUCCAGUUGCCGGAAUGAUUUAGAGAAUUGUGGAGGUUACCAUGCCGAAGAACAUACUAUUAUAUAUCAUAAGGAGUUCGUGCCACCGUCCACAGGGCACUCUGAAUUCCACUUCAUGAAAUAGUUGCUAUCAAGGCUUUGAUCUGGAAAAGUGCUUCAAUGAGUAAUGACUUGGUACGUGUACUAUUUCAGUUUUGAGCUUCCAUUUUGCUCUACGAUUUCAAGCUUUGAUCUUACACACCAGAACAAGCUCGAUUUACACAAAUUUGCAAUUCAUCGAAGUCAAACCAAACUCAAAUUGAUCCACUUGUCAUUUGAGUCAAGCUUGCUCGUACAUUUGUUCAAGCUCAGCUGACUCAUAUCCACCCCUAUUUGAAAGAUUCAUGUUCACAUGUAAAUAAUGCAAUAUUUUUCAUAGUCCAGGGCAAUACUAACAUACACAACAUGGCUAAAAACAAAAAUUGUUUGUAAAAUCUCCAAUCGGAGAACGGACAAACUCGGAGCAGUACACCUUAUUAUGUCAUGUGUAAAAAAAAUUGUACCCUCAACUAGAAAGAAAAAUUCAAAACUAAAAAACAAAAAAUAAAAUUAAGACAAAACUUAAACAA